rnacentral:lncRNA from 1 species
GAGAAGCUGGUGCAAAAUGAUGAAUUAGUGGAGAAGAGUAAAUUGGAGAAGAUGGUUAAGGUCGGAUUAUGGUGCACCCAAGAUGAAGCAUCAUCUCGACCGUCGAUGAAAAGAGUUAUCUUGAUGCUAGAAGGGACGGUUAAUAUACCUGAUCCUCCACCGCUUAGCUCCUUCGUUAGUUCUCCUUAGAUCAUGUUUGAGUCACGAGAUAAGACUUUAACUUUGCCAAACGUAAAAAAUAUAGUGUUCAUACUUAUGUAGUUGUGAAUUACACUAAUGAAUCACGAUAGAUAUAUACAUAUUUAUAUAUGUAUAUAUUAUCAGCCUGAUGAAAUUUACACUGUAAUCACGAAAUUUUUCUAUAAUAUUAGAACAUAGGAAGAUGUUGAAUCUUAAAUUUAUUAAAUACUUAUUAAGAGGUAAGAAUAUAUCAUUAGUUGAUUCAAUUUUUAUAUAUCAAGAAUCUAAUGAACGAAUUAACCAAACUGAGUUGGAAGGAUAUUUUUUUUUUGAAAAUCUAUUUAUAAAAUUAAUUAAUUAAUUAAGUUGGGUUGGGUUCUAUUGGGCAGGGUAGGCUUGUUUUAUAUUUGCGCAAUUUAAUUGGGUUAGGUUAUUUACCGAAAUUAAUUAAUUGGGUUAUUUUAUAUUUCAAUAUUUUUUAUAAUUAAUUAAUUAAUUAAUUAAUUAUGUGGUUGGAUUUAUUUUAUAUUUGGGUUGGCUCACAUAUAUAUAGAUUUAUUUAUGGGUCGGAUCGAUUCAAAAAGUGAGAGGGUUUGAAAAAAAUAUAAGUUUAAAAAAUGGGCUUUAGCAAAAAUAUAAGUCCUAUUUAGAAAACGAGUCGAGUCUUGGACAAAAUUUUUUAAUCCAUUUGGAAAAUGGGUUGCUGUUUUUCUACUGUUUCGCUAUUAUGUUGUUACUAUUUUAUUGUUAUUGUUUAAAUAUUGUAUAACUUUUAUUUAUUGUUAAUUUUGUUAUUAUUGUAGAGACAUUUGCUUGUUAAGUUGCAUCUAUCUUAAUAUUAUUUAAGUAUAAAUAAUUUUAUUUAAUUUAUUUUUAAUUUGUUAAAAAAUUUAUUUUAAUAUUUUUAAUAUUUUUAUGUAUUAUAUUUUUUAAUUUUUUAUUUAAAAACAAUAUAAAAUUUUUAAUAUAGGUGGACAAAGCUAAACCCAUAAACACUCUAUAUAUAUAAUAAUAUCGAUGUAAAUUGAACUUAUCACUAUCUAUAAGAACCGAAGACUUGAAAUCAAGGCAGUAGGUUAAUUGACAACAAAUUAGUACCGUUGGUUUUCCGUUUACUUAGAACAGUCAACCAAAGAAAAAGACGGUAGAAAAGUCAGUCAACGGUGGAAAAGUCAGUCAACCAAAGAAAAAGACGGUAGAAAAGUCCUUAAUCGUGAAUCUCAAGGGGUGUAUUUUGUUGAAUCUUUUAUAUGCUUUUUUCUUCCUUACACAAAGAUUUUUAACGACUGAAGGACUUUGAAAGGUCAAAUUCUAUUAUUAGUCCUUGUAUUAUAUGUAAAUUAUGGAUUUAAUCCUUACUUUAUUUUUUGACCAAUUUUAGUUCUUAUAUUUUUUCGUAUUCUAAAAUUUCAGUCCUAACUCAAAUUGCACAUGUUAAAUCUAUUAGGUAAAAUUAUGCUAUUAGUCCUAUUUUAUGCAUAAACGGUGAAUUGAAAUUCAAUCAUGAUUAAAAACAACAGUUAUCAAAACUAAUAACUAAUAAUAUUUGGUUUUUUUGUGUGUGUGAAUAUUAUGUGAAAAUAAUAAGUAGGCAUAUCGUUACACAUAUAAUAAUAUUUUAAAAACAGUAAAAUAUAACGAUUAUUGUUUGGCCAAGACUAGAAUUUUAAAUUUUGAAAAGUGAAGGUAAAAGAAAAGGGUUAAAUAUCAAAUUUAUACACGAACUUUGAUCCAAUUACAUCAAUGAACAUUGAUUUAGUACAAUUAUAUACAUGAAACUUGAAUUGUGGUUUAUAUAUAUAUUUAUAAAACUUUUAUUUUGAUUCAAUUGUAUACAUUAAAAAAAUUGAAUACAUACAAUUAUUUUUAUAUUGGAUUAAUAUAAUUAUUUGUGUAUGUAAUAUAUCAACAUAAAAUGAUGCUAGUUCAAUAAUGUGGUUUGUGAAAAUUUAAUCAAAUUAAAAUUUCAUGUAUAAAAUCGCAUAAAAGUAAUGUUCAUGUAUCAAAUUGUACAUUGCAUCAAAAUUCAUGUAUGAUUUCGAUAAUUAUCCAUCUAAAAAAAUAAAGUUCAAGCACAAGGACUAAAUCGAUAAUUUAGACUAGUAAUUUCUAACUUACAUUUCACGUCCUAAUGCACUAUUAUCACAUUGGAUCACAUCUACUUUUUUUCCUCACAAGCACCGCAAAAACAAGAAAACACACAAGCUCGAUCUUCCACUUUAAUGGCGUUUCUUGUUCUUCUUCUUCUUUUAAAUUUUGUAUUUAAUGCAAUAAAUGCUCAAUCAACAAGCACUAUUAUCAAACCAGGUUCUUUUCUUUCACCCAUUAAUAAUUCAUAUUUGCUAUCUCAUUCCGGCCAGUUCGCUUUCGGUUUCUACCGAUACAAAAACGGCUACUCCGUAGGCAUAUGGUUCGAAAACAUCCGGCAGAAAACAAUUGUAUGGACGGCUAACCGAGAUGCCUCGCCGUUCCCUAGCGAUGUCACAUUGGUUUUAACCACCGAAGGUACCCUUAUUGUUCGACCAAAGCAAGGUCAAGACGUACUCAUUGCCGAUACUAGUAGUGAUAACGUGUCACGGUUAGCAACUUCGGCCUCGAUGCUCGAUUCGGGUAACUUUGUUUUGUUGAAUUCGAGUGGUGGGAUCGUAUGGAAGAGUUUUGAUUUCCCGACCGAUACCAUUUUACCAGGACAACGUCUAGCGGUGACCGGUAAGCUCGUUUCGAGUGUUGCCGAGUCGGAUCAUGGUAGCGGAAAAUUUCUAAUUCUUAUGCGAAGUGAUGGGAAUUUGGUCCAAUACCCUGUUGGAGCAGUACUGGAACGUGGUGCUGCUUAUUGGGCUACUAAUACAUUUAAUGCUGGAUAUGGUGUGAGCUUGAAUCUUGAUGGUAAUGGUCACCUAUAUUUGUUAAAUGAUACCGGGUUCAACAUCAAAAGUAUUAAUACGAACUACGUUAAUGCCUCGGGUAAGUCCAUGUAUCGUGCAACAAUUGAUACGGAUGGUAUAUUUCGAUUGUACUCACAUAGUUCUAACCGAUUUGAUGACUGGUACACCGAAUGGUCAUCCUCUAAUUAUAGAUGCGAUCCUUUAGGUUUGUGCAGUGAGAAUAGUUAUUGUGUUAUGAUGGAUGGGGAACCCGUUUGUCAAUGUCCUCCUCAUUUUGAUUUUAUCAACGAGAAGCGAAAGGAAUUGGGUUGCCGAAAGAACUACAGUUUAGUUGCUUGUGAUACAAGAAAUGGCUGAACUUUUGAUUUUCUUGAGGUGAACGAUGUGUCUUGGAAAGAUGAUGCGUAUUCGAGUCUCUCGUCGAUGACAAAGAACAGUUGUAGAGCCGAGUGUUAUCGAGAUUGUCGUUGCGAAGCUGUUGUCUUCGAGAACGAGGUGUGUAAAAUGAUGAAGUUGCCGUUACGGUUUGGGAGGAGAGUAUCAAGUGGUCAAGUUACUGCAUUUUUGAUUGGUGGAGAACUUGCUGGUGUUGGGACAAGGAAAAGGAAAAGGAAGCUAAGAAUGGAUAUGUUAAUCAUUAGUAUUGCCAUGGCAUGCUUGACGCUGGGGUUUCUAGUUGUAGCAACGAUCGGCGUUCGAAAGUAUCGUGCUUAUGUUCGAAAAUACAAGCGUGUUUUGGGUUUGGUAAACAAUCGAGUUGCUGAAGAUGUUGCCUUGAAAUCAUUUUCCUUCGAGGAGCUUAAAGAUGCAACCAACAAUUUUGUGGACGUGAUCGGUAAAGGAGCUUACGGGACGGUUUUCAAAGGGGUGCUAUUCGAUGGCGAAAGAACAGUAGCCAUCAAGAGACUGGAAAAAGUGGUGGCCGAAGGUGAAAGAGAUUUCCUGAAUGAAAUGAAAGCCAUCGGGAAAACACAUCACAAGAACCUCGUUCGAUUGCUCGGUUAUUGCUACGACGGGACUAAUAGGCUUCUGGUUUACGAGUACAUGGAAAACGGUUCUCUUGCAGAUUUUCUUUUCAAAUCGAACUUAAAGGUAAAUUGGGAAGGAAGAGUCGAAAUAAUAUUGAGUAUAGCGAGAGGAAUUUGUUACUUGCAUGAAGAAUGCGAGACUCAGAUUAUCCAUUGCGAUAUCAAACCCGAAAACAUCCUAAUGGACGACAAAGGGUACGCGAAAAUUGCAGAUUUCGGAUUAGCCAAGCUAUUGAUGCCCAACCAAUCUCGGACAUACACUGAAAUCCGAGGGACGAGGGGAUAUGUUGCCCCAGAGUGGCAUCAAAACUUACCAAUAACUGUGAAAGCCGAUGUUUAUAGCUUCGGAAUAAUGCUGUUCGAGAUCAUUUGUUGUAGAAGGAGUCUGAAAAUGGAUGUUCCGGAAAACGAACAAGUUCUUGCAUAUUGGGUACAUGAUUGUUUCAAGGCUAAUGAAGUGGAGUAGCUGGUGCAAAAUGAUGAAUUAGUGGAGAAGAGUAAAUUGGAGAAGAUGGUUAAGGUCGGAUUAUGGUGCACCCAAGAUGAAGCAUCGUCUCGACCGUCGAUUAAAAGGGUUAUCUUGAUGCUAGAAGGGACGGCUAAUAUACCCGAUCCUCCACUCCUUAGCUCCUUUGUUAGUUCUCCUUGUUUGUGUCAAGGAUUAAGUUUAGAUUUUGAGUAUUCAAUUUAUUGAAUCCUCCUUAGUAAAAAUGUAUAUUCUCUCGAUUCAG